CCUACGGGAGGCAGCAGUGAGGAAUAUUGGUCAAUGGACGAGAGUCUGAACCAGCCAAGUAGCGUGAAGGAUGACUGCCCUAUGGGUUGUAAACUUCUUUUAUAAAGGAAUAAAACGAGGCACGUGUGCCUUUUUGCAUGUACUUUAUGAAUAAGGAUCGGCUAACUCCGUGCAAGCAGCCGCGGUAAUACGGAGGAUCCGAGCGUUAUCCGGAUUUAUUGGGUUUAAAGGGAGCGUAGAUGGGUUGUUAAGUCAGGUGUGAAAGUUUGCGGCUCAACCGUAAAAUUGCAGUUGAAACUGGCAGUCUGGAGUACAGUAGAGGUGGGCGGAAUUCGUGGUGUAGCGGUGAAAUGCUUAGAUAUCACGAAGAACUCCGAUUGCGAAGGCAGCUCACUGGACUGCAACUGACACUGAGGCUCGAAAGUGUGGGUAUCAAACAGGAUUAGAUACCCUUGUAGUC
rnacentral:rRNA from 1 species